UACGUAGGGACCAAGCGUUGUUCGGAUUUACUGGGCGUAAAGGGCGCGUAGGCGGCGCGGUAAGUCACUUGUGAAAUCUCUGAGCUUAACUCAGAACGGCCAAGUGAUACUGCAGUGCUAGAGUGUGGAAGGGGCAAUCGGAAUUCUUGGUGUAGCGGUGAAAUGCGUAGAUAUCAAGAGGAACACCUGAGGUGAAGACGGGUUGCUGGGCCAACACUGACGCUGAGGCGACGAAAGCCAGGGGAGCAAACGGG
rnacentral:rRNA from 1 species